AGUCGGUUGCCUGAGUUUGGUAAUAGGGAUACGCUUUUGAGUAGUACGGUCGCGGGUUCGAGUCCCGCACCGGCUG
rnacentral:tRNA from 1 species